GCCAUUCCGCCAUUCCCCACAAUAUUUCCCUAGAUAAGACCUUCUCUCACUUUAUCCCUUUUCCCCAUCUUCCUCACAACACACACUUUAUCCCUUUUCCCCCAAUUCCCUCACGUGCCCACACUCACUUUUCACUACUCACCUUUGGUACACUCACGAAUUAUUCCAGAUAAUUAUUUCCUCAUAACCCAUACUCUCACUCUUCCUCCUUAACAACUCACAAUUCCACUCUUCCUCUUUAACAACUCCACUCCCACUCUCUCUUGCUUAUAUAAAAAGAUUCUAUCAGACACAUAUUGGGGGAGAUCUUUUACGGAUUCUAAAAGAACACAAAAACUUGAGAACGUGAAGUGAGUUUCUUGAGAGCAAAAUCUUCCAGAAAUACAUAGUCCUUGAAGUCAUUUUUGAUCUUUUCCUUCUUCGAAAGUUGCUGUGUUUCUAGGUUUCAUCACUGCUGGGUUUUCACUAUUUUCUUAUUGUUGUUGCUGUUCCGUUUUGGCUGGAGUCUCGUUUGCUAGUUCAGUAUCUUGCUUUUUUUUUUCUUCUAUUUUCUGCAAACUAGGUAUUUUUCCAACUCUGUAAUUUAGUUCUUAGUUGCAUAAAGCUAUUGCAAUGAAUGUGUUGAUGUGUUAUUACUGUUUCUUUACAGUUGUGUGAUCUUCUGCUCAUAUAUGAGUGUUCAAACUUCAUGAAACAUGCGUUCUCUUUUCUUUGAAGUUUCAACUUCUUCUAACUUCUUCGUAAGUUAAAAGUUGUAUAUGAUUUGUUUAGUUGCUAAGAGUUUGUGCUGGUAUAUCUAACUCUUAUAAUGGUAUAACUUAGUUUAAAGAACAAGUGAUGUAAGAUAGAUUUAGAUAGAUUUUAAAUCUUCUGUUAGUUAUAGCUUAGAGUAGAUGUUUGUGUUAAGUUUAAAACUCAUCAGUGAAACAUACUUGGUGUUUUGAGAUACCUUGUUACAUAAAGAGAAUGUUAGCUUCUUUUGUUCUUUCUUUAGUUUAAAUAGAAGGUGCACGUUAAACGUUUUUCUCUCUUUUUUUUUAUUAGUUUCUCUAAGUGGUCCUAAGUAGAAAAGAGUGUUUGAAGAUAAAAGAGGACUAUGUGUGAAUACUGGAAAGUUUAUUGCUAUUUUGAGAAUUAAAAUAUUGAGUCUUAGACAUCAUGUUUGUCCUUAUUUUUAAAGUUGGAAAUCUCAGUCAUUUGGGUCAAGGUGAAUAAAUUCAUGUGACUAGAAAUUGAUCAUUUAUGUUUAAGUCAUUGGAUCAUUUAUUUGGAAUUAAAAGAAAUCAGAUAAUCAAUUAUAUUUCAUUUCUUGUCCUUUUUUAAGUUUGCUAUAUUUUUUGUCAAUAAAAUACAUGUGGAUAUUAUUGUUAGUGUUUGUGAGUUUUAAACUUUGAUAUUAGAUUGAAAGAGAGGUUGAGGUUUGUUUUUAGUUUAAUUUUAAAAAAAUGCAAAUAGAUAAAAUAAGAUUGGAUAGUGGUUUUGCAAAGUAGAAAAGAAAGGAUUUUUGGGCUGAAAUACUAGGCCCAACGUGAUUAAGUCCAAACUAUUUUAAUAGAUGGUUCAUUUCUCUUUAGUAAUUUCAGCACGCCCAUAUCUUCUUAAUAAGUAAUUUCCAACAGCCCAAUACCAAGUAUGUUUCAAUAGAUGACCCAUUUUGCACCUGCUAACAAGGCUGGUCUAACUUUCAACACCAUGGCUGUCUCACAAUUAAUUUCCAAUAAAAACAAGUUUCUCCUCUACAAAUUAAAUUAAUUUAAUCGGCUUCUUAAUUAAUUAAUUUAAACGCUAGGCAGUGGUAGGUGCGCUUUAACUUCACGGAAUCGCUUGCGUAGCGUGAUAUUUAAUAUUCAAUAAAUUAAUUCAACAAUGUCAUACCAUGCUCAUUAGUUUUGAUUAAUUUUAAUUUAAUUAAUCUUUUGCUAAACUCGCGGAUUUGCUUGCGUAACGCGAUAGUUGACUUUUGAUAGUUUUCAAAAAUUAAUUUUCUCAAAAUGUAGUAAUUUCUCAAAAGUACUAUAAAUAAUUGAUUGUCAUAAUUUCAUAUUUGCUUGCGAGGCGCAAUUAUGAUAAGUUAAUUAAUUUUGUUUUCGAUCACGCAUUCUCUUGCGUAGCGUCGUUAUAAAAAUGUAGUAUUAUCCAAAUCAUUUUUUAUAAUUCUAAUAAUCAAGAAAUAAAAGCGGAUAGAUAAAAUAUGAAAAUCAAUAAAACACAGUUUAUCCAAAAAUAAUAUAAGCCAAAUAUAGUCAAUAAAGCGACCAUGCUAGAACCACGGAACUCGGGAAAUAUUUUACACCUUCUCCCCGAUCAACAGAAUUCCUUACCCGGACUUUAUUUUCGUAGACCAAUAAUAAUAGAGUCAAACCUUUCUUUGACUAGGGAUUCAAAUAAAAGGUGACUUGGAACACCAAAAAACUCAAUUCCAAGUGGCGACUCUAUAAAUAAAAUAAUUCACACUCAAGUUUGUCACUUUAAUUGAAAAAAUUCUUUAACCCCACAAUCCACAUAAAACACACAUCUUUUUGGGGGUAGAAAAAGGGUGUGACAGCUAUGGAGACUCCGAUGGAGACCUUCAAGAAUUCGAGCUUGUACAUUGACUUUAUUAAUUUUUGUAUAUACUGUGAUUUAUUUUUGGCCUAAUGUGCUACUUUCCCGCUUUUUACCGCUUUGAUAUUGUUGAACUGUCCAUAUAAACUGUCUUCUCUCGCACUCCUCUGAGUCCUUUUGAAAUUAAAUUUGGCAUUUGCUUGACAUAACCCUCUUUAUUUGAGACAGCCGAGGUGCUUGCCACCUGGUGAAGGAUUUUAGGCGCACAUGUUUUAGGCGGGGGGCACCACCAGC
rnacentral:lncRNA from 1 species